UAGGGAAUCUUCCGCAAUGGACGAAAGUCUGACGGAGCGACGCCGCGUGAGCGAAGAAGGUCUUCGGAUCGUAAAGCUCUGUUGUUAGGGAAGAAGAAGUGCCGUUCGAACAGGGCGGCGCAGUGACGGUACCUAACGAGAAAGCCCCGGCUAACUACGUGCCAGCAGCCGCGGUAAUACGUAGGUGGCAAGCGUUGUCCGGAAUUAUUGGGCGUAAAGCGCGCGCAGGCGGUUCCUUAAGUCUGAUGUGAAAUCUCGCGGCUCAACCGCGAGCGGCCAUUGGAAACUGGGGAACUUGAGUGCAGGAGAGGGGAGCGGAAUUCCACGUGUAGCGGUGAAAUGCGUAGAGAUGUGGAGGAACACCAGUGGCGAAGGCGGCUCUCUGGCCUGUAACUGACGCUGAGGCGCGAAAGCGUGGGGAGCGAACAGG
rnacentral:rRNA from 1 species